AGGCGCGUAGCUCAGCCCGGAAGAGCAGCGGUCUCCAAAACCGCCGGUCGGGGGUUCGAAUCCCUCCGCGCCUGCCA
rnacentral:tRNA from 1 species